ACCUCAGGCACAGCAGAAUACUGCCACUGGGGAAAGCCCUGGAGAUGUAAUGGGUGUGGAAAAGCAUUCUCAGUGACAGCCACCCUCAUUUCACAUCGCAGAUUUACACACAGAAAACUCAUGAAUGUAAUGAAUGUGGAAAAUUCUUUCACCAGGAGUCACAUCUCAGCUGACAUCAGAGAACUCACGGGACAGAAACCUUAAGAUUGUAACAAAUGUGGAAAAAUCUUUGGUAUGAAAUCACACCCCAGAAAACAUCAGAGAAACAGUCUAAGGGGAAGGCCUGAAUGGUAGAAGCUAUAUGUGCACUAAAAUUCAUUCUCUUUUCUCUGGAACACAUACUUACCCUCCAUUUCUCAGCCUCUCUUUAUGAGUGGCACAAAGUAACAGCCCUGUCAAGGUAAGUGCAGGUAUAAGUGAUGGGCAUUACUUCCAGGACUGGCCCACAUAAAAACUUGAAUGCAGUCCUCCUUGAUUUCUUAUGAUCUCUGGGACUGAAAUGCAGAUGACCCCCACAGAGCCUUAGGAGCCACAGGGAGGAAAAGUUCACCUUGAUUUAAGACAAAAGGAACUGAUCAGAUAGAGCAGAGAUUUCCC
rnacentral:lncRNA from 1 species